ensembl:lncRNA
UGCCUUCUCAUGCCAGCUGCCAGAGGUAGGGAUGGGGGUGGGGGAGUGGAGAGAUUAUCUCAUUGGUGCCGACCAGAAAGUUCCAAACUGGUUAAUUAAGAUUGCAUUUCUGGCGAAGGUCAAAACUGCAAUUAGGAAUUCCCUUGGUGGCACAGCCCACGUUAAGGAUCCGGCGUUGUCACUGCUAUGGCUGGGGCCGCAGCUGUGGCAUGAGUUUGAUCCCUGGCCCCCAAAACUUCUGCAUGUCAUGGGCAAGGCAAAAAAAAAAAAAAGGAAAAAACAAAACCAAACUACAAUUAGAUUACGUAUUAAAUCUAGAUUGAAGGAGUUCCUGUUGUGGCUCAGCAGUAGUGAACCUGAACCUGACUAGUAUCCAUGAGGACGUGGGUUUGAUCCCUGGCCUCACUCAGUGGGUUAAGGAUCCAGCAUUGCUGUGAGCUGUAGGUCGCAGAUGAGGCUCGGAUCCUGCAUUGCUGUGGCUGUGGCGUAGGCUGCCAGCUGUAGCUUCCAUUUGACCCCUAGCCUGGGAACUUCUGUAGGCUGAGGGUAGGGCCCCAAAAAGAAAAAAAAAAAAAAAUCUAGAUUUAGUAUCACAGGCUUUAGCACAAGUGAUACCAUUUGGAGCAAGUGGUUUUUCUCUUUAACCAUAUGUGCUAUACAUAACCAUAUAGUUAUAAUUUCUGUAACCAUAUGCAGAAAUCAUUUAUUUUCUUAACAUCAAAAAUUAUCUUCUACCCUAUCUCCAACCUCUGGCACUGUCUUCCACAAAACAAGACCUAAUUUUGUUUGGUAAAAACUUCUAUAUGCAUCUUGUAGGUUGGGUCCAGUUGUGUGCUAGUAAAUGUUUAAGAACUAGCUGGGGGGUAGAGGGGGCAGGGUGAGGGGUUUAUAGGCAAUUUCUGUGGUAUAAAUACCAUACAACCACAGCACAUCUCAGGCUACCACCAUGCUGUCACUAAAUAUGCAAAUAGGGAGAAAAACAUGCAACUAGGUCUUUCAAGCCUAGGAAAGCCAGCUCCAAUGCCCAUUCCCAGCCAUUGUUAACAAGUAAUUGGAUAUUGAGUUGCUGUCUUUUUUAAAAGGGUCAGAGUCAAGUCAGCCAUCUGCUGAGCUUUGCUUGUUUUGAGUGGUAUAGACAAGUUGAGAGCCAGAACUGAGUUGUUCCAGACUGUUGAGGGGAGUUUAUGUUGUGAUAAGGAACUGAAACAGAGACCAAGAAGGAGGAAUGGGAUGGGAGAGAGGAGGCUGAUAUUUCGAGAGGAAAUUCUAGCAGAAUGUUUGAAGGGAAUUGCUGUGCUAUGCAAUGUCACCCUUCUAACACACCUGCUCCAAAAAACCUUCAGUACAACUUGAUCACUCUGUCAUGUAUGGCAGACUCGGACUGGUUUCCUAGGAUUGCUUUUAAGCUCUGAAUGCAGCCUCAGAGUGGGCCCAGGGUGAGAGCUGUGGUUACAUCAUGGGCCUUGCCACAUCUAGGUUAUACAUUUUCUGUGCACGUUUGAUCAUUUUUAAAAAUGAGCAUGCAUUAUUCGAGUUGUCAGCAAAAUACUUUUUUCAAGUUACCUCCACUCAAGAAUGUUGAGUUGAGAGUUAUUUUCUUACCCAACUCAGCAAAACAUGGCAUAGUGAUCUUUGCCCUUGCAGGAGGGAGUCAAGUCCUAGAAUGGAAUAGGAACCAGUUGGAUCUGUUUAGAAGAAUGUUUUUUGCAGAAAAUAAUCUCCCUAAAACUUCUUGUGUCCUUCCGUUGCGUUUUUAUUACAAACCUUUGGCGGAACUUCAAACAUGCUAAUAAGCCUCCCAAAAAGCUCUAUAAAGAUAAGACAUCUGUGCAAAUCUCCCCUGUUCCUGAUAUCAUGCUGAUCCUGUGGACAAGAAACCCGGAUAGAAGACGUUCAAGUCUUUGGCAUGUUCCUCCAAUGAGGUGCAAAUAUGGAUUCCUAUUGUUGUCAAGCUCCAAGGCCUAGAUUAAAAAACAGAGAGGAAGAGACAAAGAAAGAGAAGGAGAAAAAAAAAACUUAUCUUUAUCUCUAGCUAUAGGUAUACAUUUCCUGGCUUUAGGUACUUGCUUUCAUUAUGUCAAUGGUACCUCUUAAGUCCACCUUCUUGGCUGCUCCUAGUGAUGGAAACUCCUGGGGCUGGCACCCACCAAACCAGUCUGGGAGAGAGGGUGCCCAAGUUUGCUGCAAAGGCACAAGGACUUUUGCUGUCUGCCCCAUCAGUGUAUUUUCUAGCUUCUAACCAGCAUCCAGUCUUGACCACUUCCCUUCUUUUUGCCUUCUAGUUUCUGCCCUUCUAGCCUCUGAAUGCCAGGCUAGAUGGACACACAGCCUUGCCUGGGUCCCCAGCUGCAGCUGCAGAUUUCCUUCUAAUGCUUGCCACCUGGUUCCCACCCCCACCUAAGCUCCCUGGCUGUGGAUGACUUCUGAGACUCCAGAUCCCCAGCCUAGCACUGAUGGCUAACAUCACACUAUUUUGCUAAGUCAGAUCACUUCCAGGGCUAAGCCACCAUUCUGUGUCCUCUGUCUCUCAAAGGUUCCAUUGGCCUAAUUUGUACGUCCAGAAGGGGCAGCUGGAGUCAGUACAGAAAAAGAGUGAAAAAAAGCAUCAGCUUAGACUGCAUGUGUACCUAGAAUGCACUGUGAAUUGUGCCCCCUGGAGGAAAAUUCCAGGGCUGCAGUCCAUGUGAAUGAUUUCCCCUCCCUUUCCCCAGGGUUGUGCUACCGGGGGGUCUUGCAAGCCAUGUGGCUCUGAACAAAUCACUGCAUUUCUCAGUGCUUCAGUUUCAUCAUAAACUAAUAAAAUGGAGCUAAUAUAGAGUACUUACUUCACAGGGCUGUUGUAAGGAGAACACGAAAUGCUAUGUAAAGGCAGCCAGUGUCUGGUACAUUAAAAAUGUUCUAUAUGCAUUAGUGGUUGAAAUUUUCCAAGUAUAAACAUAAUGACCAACCUUCUUUUUUUAUUUUAAAUGAUUUCUGUCUUUUCCAUUAUAGCUGGUUUAUAGUGUUCUGUCAAUUUUCUACUACAGCAAGGUGACCCAGUCACACAUACACAUUCUUUUUUUUCACAUUAUCAUGCUCUGUCAUAAGUGACUAGAUAUAGUUCCCAGUGCUAUACAGCAGGAUCUCAUUGUUUAUCCAUUCCAAAGGCAAUAGUUUGCAUCUAUUAACCCCAAAUUCCCAGUCCCUCCUACUCCCUCCCCCUCCCCCUUGGCAACCACAAGUCUGUUCUCCAUGUCCAUGAUUUUCUUUUCUGUGGAAAGGUUCAUUUGUGCCAUAUAUUUGAUUCCAGAUAUAAGUAAUACCAUAUGGUAUUUGUCUUUAUCUUUCUGACUUACUUCACUUAGUAUGAGCCUCUAGUUCCAUCCAUGUUGCUUCAAAUGGCAUUGUUUUGUUCUUUUUAUGGCUGAAUAGUAUUCCAUUGUGAAUAUAUAGUACAUCUUAAUCCAUUCAUCUCUCAGACGUUUAGGUUGUUUCCAUGUCUUGGCUAUUGUGAAUAGAGCUGCAAUGAACAUACGGGUGCAUGUGUUUAUUUCAAGGAAAGUUUUGUCAAGAUGUAUGCCCAAGAGUGGGAUUGCUGGGUCAUAUGGUAGUUCUAUAUUUAGUUUUCUGAGGUACCCCCAUACUGUUUUCCAGAGUGGUUGUACCAGCUUAUGUUCCCACCAACAGUGCAGGAGGGUUCCCUUUUCUCCUCACCCUUUCUAGCAUUUGUUAUUUGUGGACUUAUUAAUGAUGGCCAUUCUGACUGGUAUGAGGUGGUACCGCAUAGUAGUUUUGAUUUGCAUUUCUCUAAUAAUCAGGGAUGUUGAGCAUUUUUUCAUGUGCUUGUUGGCCAUCUGUGUAUCUUCCUUGGAGAAAUGUCUAUUCAGGUCUUUUGCCCAUUUUUCCAUCAGGUUGUUGGCUUUUUUGCUGUUGAGUUGUAUAAGUUGUUUGUAUAUUUUAGAGAUAAAUCCCUUGUCGGUUGCAUGCUUGAAAGUAUUUUCUCCUAUUCUGUAAGUUGUCUUUUUUUUUUUUUUAUGGUUUCCUUUGCUGUGCAAAAGCUUGUCCGUUUGAUUAGGUCCCAUUGGUUUAUUUUUGCUUUUAUUUAUUAUUAUUAUUUAUUUAUUUAUUUUGUCUUUUUGCCAUUUCUUGGGCCGCUCCCGCAGCAUAUGGAGGUUCCCAGGCUAGGGGUUGAAUCAGAGCUGUAGCUGCCAGCCUACACUAGAGCCACAGCAACAUGGGAUCCGAGCCGCGUCUGCAAGCUACACCACAGCUCACAGCAACGCUGGAUUGUUAACCCACUGAGCAAGGGCAGGGAUCGAACCCGCAACCUCAUGGUUCCUAGUUGAAUUCGUUAACCACUGAGCCACAAUGUGAACUCCUGCUUUUAUUUUUGUUGCUUUGGGAGACUGACCUGAGAAAACAUUUGUAUGGUUGAUGUUGGAGAAUGUUUUGCCUGUGUUCUCUCCUAGGAGUUUGAUGGUACCUUGUCUUACAUUUAAGUCUUUACGCCAUUUUGAGUUUAUUUUUGUGCAUGGUGGGAGGUUGUGUUCUAGUUUCUUUGAUUUACAUGCGGCUGUCCAGUUUUCCCAGCACUACUUACUGAACAGACUGACUUUUUCCCGUUUUAUAUUCUUGCCUCCUUUGUCAAAGAUUAAUUGACCAUAGGUUUCUGGGGAAGCUUCUUUAAUCAAAGUUUAAGUUGUAUCAGAGAUGCUGUCUUUCUACAUGUUGGUGGGACCAGCAAGCCCAUACUCCUGGGUCCUUAAGUAUAUGGACUGCAACCUUUUUUUUUCUCUGCUAAAAGUUAUGCUUGUAUGGGUUUGGGUUCUGCACAUUUUGGUGAAGUCCCAGUGUAAAAGCAGUGCUUCUCAAACUUUAAUGUUCAUGUAGGGAUCUUAAAAAUGUAGACUCUGAAUCAGCAGGUCUGGUCUGGGACUUUGCUUUUCUAAACAGCUCCUAGGUAGGAGUUCUUAUUAUGGCUCAGCAGGUUAAGAACCUGACAUAGUAGCCAUGAGAAUGCGGGUUCAAUCCCUGGCCUCCCUCAGUGGGUUAAGGAUAUAGUGUUGCUGCAGGCUGCACUAUAGGUCACAGAUGUGACUUGGAUCCCAAGCUGCUGUGGCUAUUGUUUAGUUCAGCAGCUGCAGCUCCAAUUUGACCCCUAGCCCAGGAACUUCCAU